rnacentral:lncRNA from 1 species
UGUUACAUAUUUCCAGGUUUUCAAAAUAUAAUUCUCAAAAUGAAUAAUACUCCAAAUCAAUAAUUCUUGGCUCAUGAAUGGAGAAAGCUAUGUUCAUAGGCCGAGUUACGUAGUCAACCUAGAGUUGACCGUCUAUUUUCUCUAGGUAUAACAAUAAAUCAUUCGUUAAUCAAAAUGUUAAAAUUAUGAUUUUAAAUAUGCAAUUAUUUUGAAACAAAAGUUUAUCAUACACUUAAUUGAUACUUUCUGCAGCCAUUUUUUUUUCCAACAAAACAAAAGUUGAUUUUCUUAAAAGCAUAGUAAUAUCAAACCAAAACCCAAUUAAUAAUUAAGCUGACAAUAUAAAUCUCCAAGUUCAGAGUCAUAUAGAACAUUAUUUUCUUACUAUUUUUAAACCACCAUUGUUAAAAACUCGAAUAUACGGACGUAUGAUCAAAUGAAAUGGUUUGUUAGUGUGCUGAUUGACACUCUUAGAGAGAUAGCUAAGCACCAUGGGUGCCUAAAAUAGCCAAGUUUCGUGACAAAAUACUCUUGAAAGAGGGCAACAAAUGAUUGUCGGUGGUGCAAUGACGACGCCGAGUUGCAAUUGUGGGAAUUACACGCAUCUCAGCACUGCAAUUCGGCGUCCCUCAUUGCACCACAGAAAACCAUGUUGCGGAAGACUAGAUAUUCCUCUCGAAGUGAUCAAUCCCAAAACUUAUGUUUAAAACUGAAUGGCAGCACACUUUAUAUGGAGCUGUGUAAUGUGUAGUUGUCCAUUCUUUGAGUGAUACGAUAAGAUUUGUUUUAGAAAUUGAAG